CCUACGGGCCGCACCAGUGGGGAAUAUUGCACAAUGGGCGCAAGCCUGAUGCAGCCAUGCCUCGUGUGUGAAGAAGGCCUUCGGGUUGUAGAGCACUUUCAGCGGGGAGGAAGGCGUUAAGGUUAAUAACCUUGGCGAUUGACGUUACCCGCAGAAGAAGCACCGGCUAACUCCGUGCCAGCAGCCGCGGUAAUACGGAGGGUGCAAGCGUUAAUCGGAAUUACUGGGCGUAAAGCGCACGCAGGCGGUCUGUCAAGUCGGAUGUGAAAUCUCCGGGCUCAACCUGGGAACUGCAUUCGAAACUGGCAGGCUAGAGUCUUGUAGAGGGGGGUAGAAUUCCAGGUGUAGCGGUGAAAUGCGUAGAGAUCUGGAGGAAUACCGGUGGCGAAGGCGGCCCCCUGGACAAAGACUGACGCUCAGGUGCGAAAGCGUGGGGAGCAAACAGGAUUAGAUACCCGCGUAGUC
rnacentral:rRNA from 1 species